rnacentral:rRNA from 1 species
CCAGACUCCUACGGGAGGCAGCAGUGAGGAAUAUUGGUCAAUGGUCGGGAGACUGAACCAGCCAAGCCGCGUGAGGGAUGAAGGUACAGAGUAUCGUAAACCUCUUUUGUCAGGGAACAAAGGCGGGGACGUGUCCCCGGAUGAGUGUACCUGAAGAAAAAGCAUCGGCUAACUACGUGCCAGCAGCCGCGGUAAUACGUAGGGAGCGAGCGUUAUCCGGAAUUAUUGGGUGUAAAGGGUGCGUAGACGGGAAAGCAAGUUAGUUGUGAAAUCCCUCGGCUUAACUGAGGAACUGCAACUAAAACUACUUUUCUUGAGUGCAGGAGAGGUAAGUGGAAUUCCUAGUGUAGCGGUGAAAUGCGUAGAUAUUAGGAGGAACACCAGUGGCGAAGGCGACUUACUGGACUGUAACUGACGUUGAGGCACGAAAGUGUGGGGAGCAAACAGGAUUAGAUACCCGAGUAGG